GCGGGUGGCGCCGAUCCGGUGACGGCCCCGGUCUUCAAAACCGGUCGGGAGGUGUCGGAAGACACGCUUCGGUGGGUUCGACUCCCAUCACCCGCCGCCA
rnacentral:tRNA from 1 species